rnacentral:rRNA from 1 species
AUUGAACGCUGGCGGCAUGCCUUACACAUGCAAGUCGAACGGCAGCACGGGUGCUUGCCCCUGGUGGCGAGUGGCGAACGGGUGAGUAAUACAUCGGAACAUGUCCUGUAGUGGGGGAUAGCCCGGCGAAAGCCGGAUUAAUACCGCAUACGAUCUACGGAUGACAGCGGGGGACCUUCGGGCCUCGCGCUAUCGGGUUGGCCGAUGGCUGAUUAGCUAGUUGGUGGGGUAAAGGCCUACCAAGGCGACGAUCAGUAGCUGGUCUGAGAGGACGACCAGCCACACUGGGACUGAGACACGGCCCAGACUCCUACGGGAGGCAGCAGUGGGGAAUUUUGGACAAUGGGCGAAAGCCUGAUCCAGCAAUGCUGCGUGUGUGAAGAAGGCCUUCGGGUUGUAAAGCACUUUUGUCCGGAAAGAAAUCCUUGGCCCUAAUACGGUCGGGGGAUGACGGUACCGGAAGAAUAAGCACCGGCUAACUACGUG